CUUUCCAAGACUUUUAACAUGAGUAGGUUUUAUUUUAUUAUAAGCUUUAUCAGUUCUCUUGCUCAGGCCCAUAUAAUGCUCUCUGGACAGCCCUGAAUGUCAGCUCACGAUUCUGAUCCCAUAGCUUUUGGAAAUAUGCUGUGAUAGCAGUCUUUACCCAGCUGCUUGCAUGCCAAAUAUAGCUGAGGAUUCCAAAUCUGUCACUUUAUGGUGAUAAUCUGUAACGAUAGUGUCUGGAUCUUUCAAACCUUUAUGAGUAUAAAGAUUCCAACAAGGUAAACCCUUCUACGCCAGAAUAAAAUUCUGACUGUGCAUGGUUCAUGCUUUUAGCUGCUUAACUGUAAACUCUGCACUUACUAAGCAACACUGUAGGAGGUUUAGACUUUCUCUGCUUGGUGGUCCGUAUUUCACCUUCUAUCACACAGAACCAAAUUCUCUACAGAACCAAAUUCUCUCUUCCCUAGAACACAAAGAGCUAUGCAACUGAUACACUUGGACUUCCGCAGGACCUUGGAAAACAGAGCUCUUUCUCAUACGGCAUAAGCUUCACAUCAAGUCACUUUUGGUUUCUACAAGUCCAUGGCUGUAAUCACACCUCGUUCACUGGAGUACCUUAAAAAAUCACACAUUUCUCAUAGGAUAUGGAGUUCAUUCCAACUCACUUCAAGUCUUCAGAAAUUCAUCUUCGUAAUCCCCAUCUAACACUUGGAAAUCUAAGGCUCCCUUUGCCCUUCUGCCACCUCCAGCUAGAUUAUGCUUCCGUCAGUGGGAUUGGCAGAACUCCUUGCCACUGGUACAAUGGCGAUGGGUAGAAAUGUGUGCCAGGAACCCUUCUGUCUAUUCUGCAACCCGACUGCAAGGCCUCUAGUGAAGUACUUAACAGGAUAUAGCACAAAGGCGCAAAGGCCUCUGGGUAGAGCUGUUGACUGGGAGUAGCGCGAGGAAAAGAAGGGCGCUGGGUGAAGCAGUUGCUCAGGACAUUUCUCUGGCAAUGCCCCGCGUCACAAACGUGUGAAAUGUUUGCCUGGGGAAAACACACAGAACGAAAUGUGAUGCCAGAGCUUACUGCUGUUUUGUCACACGAGUGUUUUCGACUAAGAUAAGCCAACUUCCCAGAUUCCCAGAGAGAUUAUUUCUUCUGCUGCCGAAAGAAUACCAGGAUGUAGCAGUGGAAAUAGAGAACUUCAACAGUAAACUUGGAUUGGGAAGUCCUAACCUGUAUCUACCUCACCAGUUUCUUCGUCGUAGUGUGUCCUGGCAUGCUGGGAGCUCACGUCUUCUGUAAACUCUUGGCAUCUUGGAGUGUGGAGCUUCGAUGAUCUGGGAGCUGGAUAUGGAUGAAGAACCUAGGGAGAGGGGACAGAAAAGGUGUCCCGACUUAAGAACAACCAAAGGGAAGUUCUUUCAGUCACUUGAGUAAAUAUCUCCAUUGAAGGAGUCCAAGAAAGAAGCUGACUGAAGGACAGUUGUCUCUGUUCAUGCAGUGGUCACAUGCUUUGGAGAUGAUUUGAAGUUGGUGAAACUGAGGCCCAGAGACAGAUACAAUUUUCCUAAGUCAUUGUGACUAUUCCAGCAGCACAUUGGCCAGACAAGCUUUUUAUAGUAGGAGCACAGCUCUGUAAUGAGAACCAACUGGAAAAGAACUACACAAAAACUUGCUGCUGUGCCAAGCUCACCUUAUCAUGCUUA
rnacentral:sRNA from 1 species